AUGGCUCAGGAUGAACGCUAGCUACAGGCUUAACACAUGCAAGUCGAGGGGCAGCAUUGGGAUAGCUGCUAUUCAGAUGGCGACCGGCGCACGGGUGAGUAACGCGUAUCCAACCUUCCUGCCAGUAGGGAACAGCCCGGCGAAAGUCGGAUUAAUGCCCUAUGUUCUUCAAUGCGGACAUCUAAGUUGAAGGAAAGAUUCAUCGCUGGCAGAUGGGGAUGCGUCCGAUUAGCUUGCCGGCGGGUAACGGCCCACCGGGGCGACGAUCGGUAGGGGUUCUGAGAGGAAGGUCCCCCACACUGGUACUGAGACACGGACCAGACUCCUACGGGAGGCAGCAGUGAGGAAUAUUGGUCAAUGGGCGUAAGCCUGAACCAGCCAAGUAGCGUGCAGGAUGACGGCCCUACGGGUUGUAAACUGCUUUUAUGCGGGGAUAAAGUGCGGCACGUGUGCCGCUUUGCAGGUACCGCAUGAAUAAGGACCGGCUAAUUCCGUGCCAGCCGCCGC
rnacentral:rRNA from 1 species